GGUGAACGCUGGCGGCGUGGAUAAGGCACGCAAGUCGAACGACCUUGUGCUUGCACAAGGGAGUGGCAAACGGGUCAGUAACACGUACUUACGUACCGCUAACACGGGCAUAAUCCGUUGAAAGACGGACUAAUUACCGAUAGUCUCCCUUUCUCUUGAGAGAGGGAGUAAAGGCGCAAGUCGGUUAGCGAUCGGGGUGCGGCUUAUCAGCUUGAAGGUAGGGUAAUGGCCUACCUUGGCUAUGACGGGUAGGGGGCCUGAGAGGGUGUCCCCCGACAAUGGGAUUGAGAUACGGCCCAUACUCCUACGGGAGGCAGCAGUCGAGAAUCUUUCGCAAUGGGCGAAAGCCUGACGAAGUGACGCCGCGUGAGGGAUGAAGUCCUACGGGAUGUAAACCUCUUUUCUGCCCGAAGAACCCUUUUGGGUGACGGUAGGGCAGGAAUAAGGGGCUGCUAAUCACGUGCCAGCAGCAGCGGUAGUACGUGAGCCCCGAGCGUUACCCGGAUUUAUUGGGCGUAAAGAGUUCGUAGGCGGCUGAGCAAGUCCUUGGUUAAAGACCGAUGGCUUAACCUUCGGGGUGCCAGGGAUACUGUUUAGCUAGAGGACGCUAGAGGCUGGUAGAACCCUCGGUGUAGGGGUGGAAUCCGUUGAUAUCGAGGGGAAUACCAAAAGCGAAGGCAUCCAGCUAGGGCGGUCCUGACGCUGAGGAACGAAAGCGUGGGUAUCGAAGAGGAUUAGAUACCCUUGUAGUCCACGCUGUAAAUGAUGGACACUAGCUAUUGGAAGUGUCGACCCUUUCAGUGGCGAAGCUAACGCAUUAAGUGUCCCGCCUGGGGAGUACGGCCGCAAGGCUGAAACUUAAAGGAAUAGACGGGAGCCACACAAGCGGUGGACCACGUGGCUUAAUUCGACGAUAAACGAAGAACCUUACCAGGACUUGACAUACCAGUGACACCCUCGGGAAACCGGGCUUCCACAAGGACACUGGCACAGGUGCUGCAUGGUUGUCGUCAGCAUGUGCCGUGAGGUUCUCCCUUAAAUGGGGUAACAUGCGCAACCCUCAUCCUGUGUUAUAAGUAUCACAGGAAACCGCCCCCCUCCUAGUUUUGGACUGGAGCUUUGAGCUUAGAUAUUUAAUAAAACUUGUCCAAGCUUAGGAGGGGGGAGGAAGGUGAGGAUGACGCCAAAUCAGCAUGGCCCUUUGAUGUCCUGGGCCGCACACGUGGUACAAUGGCCGGUACAGCGGGUUGCCAAACCGUAAGGCGGAGCUAAUCCCUUAAAUCCGGUCUCAGUUCGGAUCGAGGGCUGCAACUCGCCCUCGUGAAGCUGGAAUCGCUAGUAAUCGCGGAUCAGCUAUGCCGCGAUGAAUAUGUUUCUGGCUCUUGUACUCACCGCCCGUCACACCAAGAGAGCUGGGAGUGCCCGAAGUCCCCUGCUUUGUCCCAGGGCCUAAGGCAAGCUUCCAGUAAUUAAUGGUG
rnacentral:rRNA from 1 species